rnacentral:lncRNA from 1 species
AAGCUCGACGUCACCUCAAUCUAUGAUCCUUCGGAUCAGAUGGUAGUGGUGCAGAAUGUGCUUGGUCUACUGAUUUGACUUGGGUUCCUUCACUUGAGCAAUGGUGUCGUUGCUGUCACAGUACAACAAGAUGAAAGGCCAUCAAGGAAGGGUGCCACUCCAAGCUCGUCGAUGAACUUCCGUAACCACACAAAUUUUUUC